CUGCUUAGGUUGUGAUCUCACCAUUUGCGAGUUCCAGUCCCACACUGGGUGAGCUCGAGACCCACAUCAGGUAGAAUACAGGCCCCGCUUCAGGCGGAACACUUCUUCUUCUUUAAGCGGCACCCUCACCAUUUCAACCUGAGAGAUGUAAGAAAGGUCUCAGCCAGAUGGUCAUGGUUGCCUCGCUCGCCACGCCAGCCUCCUAUCACCUGAGACAAGGUACCUGUGUGACCGAACAGUGAUGACGAAGAAGGCAAAGGCUAUUGAAACAAGUAGUCCCAUAUCCAGUCCCAGGAAAAUUGCAGCUACGAAUGUCACCAUCCAGAUAAUCUUGUGGAGAAGGGGGAGAAGGGGGAGGGAAGACCAUGACAACAGCACAAUUGGGAAAACCACCAGUUGUAUCUCUCAACCCAUCUUCUCCUCCCACUCCCCACCAACACCUGGCAUUAGAGAAAAAAAUUCCACAGCCCUCUGGACCACCGCCUUCACGACCGAUCAGGUCCCAAGGCUGCCUAGCCGUUCUUGCCAGUGUGCUUGAUUACUUCUCUCUUUAAUUCUCUCUGGAAACCUCACGUGCAAAAUAGAGAUAACAAAAUCUCCCUUAUAGGCUUUCUUGAGAUUAAAAAUACCAUUCCCAAAGCAACGCAGAGCACUUACCAAACGGUAGCUGUUAUUUUAAGACCUAUCAUGGCUAUUGGGAAUCUUUAACAUCCUUCGUGAGUCCUUACCUCACCACCUCUCUAUCUCUUUCAGCAAGCAGCUUGACUUUCAUCUCCACAGAGCAAAGAGGCUGAAACUCUCUUAAAUAUUUGCUUCCCCCUCCACCUGCUACUUGUUAGUUACUGUCCCCAUGUCACUCUCCCUCUCUGUCUUCAGUCCUGCUGGAAGGACUGUCCCUCUUCCUAGGACUAGAAAAGGCACCCCCGCCCUGGACCACAUCCCUCUUAGCUUCUCGGGGACCUGGAUCUGAAAACUACCCCUGUUCAUUUCUCUUUGCCUCUGUGGGCUUCUUCUCCUCUCAUUGUAUUAUUUCCUCUCUGUUUUAUUUCUUGCUGUUUCCCCUUUGUGUCCCCAAUUUUGUGCUCUAGAUGGAAGGGGGCUGCUCCAACAGUUCUCCUGCCUAACAAGACACCACCUUCUUUCAGCAGGAUUUGUGUCCUACCCUGGCACAUUGUCACACUAACUGGAUUAAAAGUCAUUGACUAUGUAAUGUGUGACAAACCCUUUUUACUAGAUUCAUAUCUAACUGUGGCCACUUGUAUCCUUUUUAUUUAAUUUUGCAUAGUUGGAAUGGCAUCUCAGUAUUCCAUGCACCCAUAACCUUGACACCUCUUUUUUUUUUUUUAA